rnacentral:rRNA from 1 species
UACAGAGGUCCCGAGCGUUGUUCGGAUUCAUUGGGCGUAAAGGGUGCGUAGGAGGGCAGGUAAGUCAGUGGUGAAAUCUCCAAGCUUAACUUGGAACUGCCGUUGAUACUAUCUGUCUUGAAUACCGUGGAGGUGAGCGGAAUAUGUCAUGUAGCGGUGAAAUGCUUAGAUAUGACAUAGAACACCAAUUGCGAAGGCAGCUCGCUACACGAAUAUUGACUCUGAGGCACGAAAGCGUGGGGAUCAAACAGG